rnacentral:rRNA from 1 species
GACGAACGCUGGCGGCGUGCCUAAUACAUGCAAGUUGAGCGCUGAAGGUUGGUACUUGUACCAACUGGAUGAGCAGCGAACGGGUGAGUAACGCGUGGGGAAUCUGCCUUUGAGCGGGGGACAACAUUUGGAAACGAAUGCUAAUACCGCAUAAAAACUUUAAACACAAGUUUUAAGUUUGAAAGAUGCAAUUGCAUCACUCAAAGAUGAUCCCGCGUUGUAUUAGCUAGUUGGUGAGGUAAAGGCUCACCAAGGCGAUGAUACAUAGCCGACCUGAGAGGGUGAUCGGCAAAAUUGGGAAUGAGACAGGGCCCAAAAUCCUACGGGAGGCAGCAGUAGGGAAUCAUCGGCAAUGGACGAAAGUCUGACCGAGCAAAGCCGCGUGAGUGAAGAAGGGUUUCGGAUCGGAAAACUCUGUUGGUAGAGAAGAACGUAGGUGAGAGUGGAAAGCUCAUAAAGUGACGGUAACUAACCAGAAAGGGACGGCUAACUACGUG